CCUACGGGUGGCAGCAGUCGAGAAUCAUUCACAAUGGGGGAAACCCUGAUGGGGCGACGCCGCGUGGGGGAAUGAAGGUCUGCGGAUUGUAAACCCCUGUCAUGGGGGAGCAAAUUAAAAAGAUAGUACCACAAGAGGAAGAGACGGCGAACGCUGGGCCAGCAGCCGCGGGAAUACAGAGGGCUCAAGCGUUGUUCGGAACCACUGGGCGGAAAGCGGGCGUAGGCUGUUUCGUAAGUCGUGUGUGAAAGGCGCGGGCUCAACCCGCGGACGGCACCUGAUACUGCGAGACUAGAGUAAUGGAGGGGGAACCGGAAUUCUCGGUGUAGCCGUGACAUGCGUAGAUAUCGAGCGG
rnacentral:rRNA from 1 species